GGAUGUGAGGGUAACCUGGAAGCAAUAUCUGUUACCCCUUUGAUCCCCAGGGUUGAUUCGGCUGAUCUGUCUGGCUAGGCAAGAGUCCCCUUCCUCCCUCACCAUUCCAUGUGCAUCCCUCUCAAAGCUGCACAGCUGGUCCAGGAGGACAACCUUCCUCAACAGAGGAGGACCAUUCUUCAGUCAAGGGUAUCUGGCAGCUGUGCUCCCCUCUAGAACCUCCACACAAGCUCUCAAAGUCCAUUGAUAGGAAAACACAGAGUAGCCAAGUUUCCACACUCAUUCCAGACUCAUUCAAAUGGGGCAUUGCAGGUAACACUUUGCCUUUCUUA
ensembl:misc_RNA 7SK 7SK RNA